rnacentral:rRNA from 1 species
GACGAACGCUGGCGGCGUGCUUAACACAUGCAAGUCGAACGGAAAGGCCCUUCGGGGUACUCGAGUGGCGAACGGGUGAGUAACACGUGGGUGAUCUGCCCUGCACUUUGGGAUAAGCCUGGGAAACUGGGUCUAAUACCGAAUAGGACCACGCGCUUCAUGGUGUGUGGUGGAAAGCUUUUGCGGUGUGGGGUGGGCCCGCGGCCUAUCAGCUUGUUGGUGGGGUAAUGGCCUACCAAGGCGACGACGGGUAGCCGGCCUGAGAGGGUGACCGGCCACACUGGGACUGAGAUACGGCCCAGACUCCUACGGGAGGCAGCAGUGGGGAAUAUUGCACAAUGGGCGCAAGCCUGAUGCAGCGACGCCGCGUGAGGGAUGACGGCCUUCGGGUUGUAAACCUCUUUCAAUAGGGACGAAGCGCAAGUGACGGUACCUAUAGAAGAAGCACCGGCCAACUACGUGCCAGCAGCCGCGGUAAUACGUAGGGUGCGAGCGUUGUCCGGAAUUACUGGGCGUAAAGAGCUCGUAGGUGGUUUGUCGCGUUGUUCGUGAAAACUCACAGCUUAACUGUGGGCGUGCGGGCGAUACGGGCAGACUAGAGUACUGCAGGGGAGACUGGAAUUCCUGGUGUAGCGGUGGAAUGCGCAGAUAUCAGGAGGAACACCGGUGGCGAAGGCGGGUCUCUGGGCAGUAACUGACGCUGGGGAGCGAAAGCGUGGGGAGCGAACAGGAUUAGAUACCCUGGUAGUCCACGCCGUAAACGGUGGGUACUAGGUGUGGGUUCCUUCCUUGGGAUCCGUGCCGUAGCUAACGCAUUAAGUACCCCGCCUGGGGAGUACGGCCGCAAGGCUAAAACUCAAAGGAAUUGACGGGGGCCCGCACAAGCGGCGGAGCGUGUGGAUUAAUUCGAUGCAACGCGAAGAACCUUACCUGGGUUUGACAUGCACAGGACGCCGGCAGAGAUGUCGGUUCCCUUGUGGCCUGUGUGCAGGUGGUGCAUGGCUGUCGUCAGCUCGUGUCGUGAGAUGUUGGGUUAAGUCCCGCAACGAGCGCAACCCUUGUCCUAUGUUGCCAGCGGGUUAUGCCGGGGACUCGUAGGAGACUGCCGGGGUCAACUCGGAGGAAGGUGGGGAUGACGUCAAGUCAUCAUGCCCCUUAUGCCCAGGGCUUCACACAUGCUACAAUGGCCGGUACAAAGGGCUGCGAUGCCGUGAGGUGGAGCGAAUCCUUUCAAAGCCGGUCUCAGUUCGGAUCGGGGUCUGCAACUCGACCCCGUGAAGUCGGAGUCGCUAGUAAUCGCAGAUCAGCAACGCUGCGGUGAAUACGUUCCCGGGCCU